AGCCGCAGCUCCACGAGCACAUCACUCUAGGAAACUUCGCCCAUGGCACCAAAUUCUCUGCCCGGAGGUUUAAAUCUCCAAUUUACUCGCGCACUUCCUUCAAUCCUGAUUCACGCCGCUGUAUCAUUCCCCAUUCGUGCUUUCUUCGCUCGGGGAAAUAUUUGAGGAGUACAUUGCACAACUGAAAGAACGCACAAAAGAAACCGAAACUAAGCGAAAGGAGGAAAAGGCUUUUCAAAUGCUUUUCCCGGGACUUCUCGAGACGGGUUGAAGGUUGUGGAUGAUGCUUUGGAAGAGGAGAGUUGUGAAGAAAUUGGAGAAGAAUAUUGCUUGAUGAGGAAAACUCUUGCAGCCCAUGCUGAUUAUAUCUACACAGAUAGCCAGAGGAAGCCAUGAGAUUAUUUACAUAAAAGGAAGAGAUUCUUCUGUAAGUUUGGGAAAUUAUAUUAGUGUAAUUAUGUUUAAUUAGUGACUAACUGUUAACUUCGAUAUAAUCCAGGUUAAAGAAACUAGAUUUACUAAGUUUCUUCGGGCCACGAUAUCAUAAUUAUGUAUUAUGAUUUGAUUAGCCUAAGGUAAUCAUUUCUAAAUAUUCACAUUACGUAUCAUGGAUCGAAAAUCUUUCGGUAUGUUGAGAGGACAUUAAUAUUCGAUCAUAUAAUCAGAUUUAUAUCGCUCGUGAACGAGAGGGUAACUCUCUUUGUUCUUC